rnacentral:rRNA from 1 species
AACGAACGCUGGCGGCAGGCCUAACACAUGCAAGUCGAACGCAUCCUUCGGGGUGAGUGGCGCACGGGUGAGUAACAUGUGGGAAUGUACCCUUUGGUUCGGAAUAACGUCUGGAAACGGACGCUAAUACCGGAUGAGCCCUGCGGGGGAAAGAUUUAUCGCCAAAGGAGCAGCCCGCGUCUGAUUAGCUAGUUGGUGGGGUAAAGGCCUACCAAGGCGACGAUCAGUAGCUGGUCUGAGAGGAUGAUCAGCCACACUGGGACUGAGACACGGCCCAGACUCCUACGGGAGGCAGCAGUUAGGAAUAUUGGACAAUGGGCGCAAGCCUGAUCCAGCCAUGCCGCGUGAGUGAUGAAGGCCUUCGGGUUGUAAAGCUCUUUAGCCGACGAAUAUAAUGACUGUAGUCGGAGAAUAAGCCCCGGCUAACUUCGUGCCAGCCGCCGCCGUAACAC